AGUCUUUGCAGUAAUGCAAGGCAUACGGCUCAGUAACAUGUAGUCAACUUACCCUAUGGACGAGGAUAAUCUCGGGAAACUGAGCAUAAUACUCGAUAGAUCAUAAUGCCUGGAAUGGUUUAUGGUUGAAAUGAUUCGUCGCCAUAGGAUGGGACUGCGGCCUAUCAGCUUGUCGGUGAGGUAAUGGCCCACCAAGGCGAUUACAGGUACGGGCUCUGAGAGGAGAAGCCCGGAGAUGGGUACUGAGACAAGGACCCAGGCCCUAUGGGGCGCAGCAGGCGAGAAAACUUUGCAAUGUGCGAAAGCACGACAAGGUUAAUCCGAGUGAUUUCUGCUAAAGAAAUCUUUUGCAAGUCAUAAAACCACUAGUGAAUAAGGGGUGGGCAAGUUCUGGUGUCAGCCGCCGCGGUAAAACCAGCACCUCAAGUGGUCAGGAGGAUUAUUGGGCCUAAAGCAUCCGUAGCCGGCUCUGUAAGUUUUCGGUUAAAUCCAUGUGCUCAACGCAUGGGCUGCCGAAAAUACUGCAUAGCUAGGGAGUGGGAGAGGUAGACGGUACUCGGUAGGAAGGGGUAAAAUCCUUUGAUCUAUCGAUGACCACCUGUGGCGAAGGCGGUCUACCAGAACACGUUCGACGGUGAGGGAUGAAAGCUGGGGGAGCAAACCGGAUUAGAUACCCGGGUAGUCCCAGCUGUAAACGAUGCAGACUCGAUGAUGCAUUGGCAUAUAGCCAGUGCAGUGUCGCA
rnacentral:rRNA from 1 species